rnacentral:rRNA from 1 species
GAGUAACGCGUAUGACAACCUACCUAUCAGAGGGGAAUAACCCGGACGAAAGUCGGACUAAUACCGCAUAAAACAGGGGCACCGCAUGGUGAUAUUUGUUAAAGAAAUUCGCUGAUAGAUGGGCAUGCGUUCCAUUAGGUAGUUGGUGAGGUAACGGCUCACCAAGCCGACGAUGGAUAGGGGAACUGAGAGGUUGGUCCCCCACACUGGUACUGAGACACGGACCAGACUCCUACGGGAGGCAGCAGUGAGGAAUAUUGGUCAAUGGGCGGGAGCCUGAACCAGCCAAGUCGCGUGAAAGGAAGAAGGAUCUAUGGUUCGUAAACUUCUUUUGCAGGGGAAUAAAGUGCAGGACGUGUCCUGUUUUGUAUGUACCCUGAGAAUAAGGAUCGGCUAACUCCGUGCCAGCCGCUGC